rnacentral:rRNA from 1 species
UACGGUAGGUGCGAGCGUUGUCCGGAAUUAUUGGGCGUAAAGAGCUUGUAGGCGGUUUGUCGCGUCUGCCGUGAAAAUCCGGGGCUCAACCCCGGACUUGCGGUGGGUACGGGCAGACUAGAGUGUGGUAGGGGAGACUGGAAUUCCUGGUGUAGCGGUGAAAUGCGCAGAUAUCGAGAGGAACACCAGUGGCGAAGGCGAGUCCCUGGACAACACCUGACACUGAGGCACGAAAGCUAGGGGAGCAAACAGG